CAUAAGAUUUACGCACUUCUUUUGAGAAACGACACAUAUUUAUUAUUCAAAGAACAAAACACUGACAAAUUGUGGGUUUUGAAAACUUUCCAUAGUUUGCAAUUUACAAUUUAUUGUUCUCAAAAACGUAUUUUUGUGAAAAUUUAUCAGCAAACUCGUUUAACUUGUUGACGUAUAACCGAGUUUAGUUAAAUACACAACGUCCGCAAUCGCCAAGAGUCGCACACGAUUUGGAGGAGAACGACAAUAAGCAUCGGUUUUUACUAACAAAAUAUCUGACAAUUUGUUAAGAGAAAAUAAAAUCGUCAAAACGAACGAAGAAUGAAAUAUAAAAAAGCUCAAACACUCACAAUAUUUUCGUCGCAAAAAUUGUCGGCCUGUUUGCUGGCAUUAGUUUGUAUGUAUUUUUAACCGUAACAAAAUGUUUGCUGAAUUAAAAUUUUAACUUUGUUCAAAUA